ACCCCCACCGUCCAUUCGCUCUUCCCCACCCACAUCCCUUUCCCUCUCUAUUUUCCUCUUCCUCUCCCUUCUUCCCAUCCGAUCGAAGCCCUCGAAUCCCCAAUCCCCUCAUUCCCCUUCUCUCUCCAUGGCCUCUCAUCCCCUCUGAUCCAAGAGAUUUCCCCUCAUCAAUGCCACAACUCAUCCGUUCUUCGUGGAUCAGAUAUCCAUAGCCGAGCCAAGAGGGGCUCUCAUCUCUUCCCUCCUCUCGGAGUAAUGGAUUCGUUCCCGUAGCACCCAGGAGAUGUUCGAGUAGUAAUCUCGAAGUGGAUGCUAAGGAUGGAAGAUGAAUUAGUCAAACCCUGUAUUUACUCCGAAGAUGGCAGAACAGAAGUUACCAUCGCUCCCAUGGAUAUUGAGCCUUUUGUGGAUGAACAAAGUAAAAUGAUGCGAAAUCCAGACAAAGGAGAAAUAAUUGCAUCUGGAGGUGACACAGAUGCGGAACCAUAUGAGGGCAUGGAGUUUGAAUCUGAAGAAGCAGCGAGGACAUUCUAUGCUGCAUAUGCUAAGCAUGUGGGAUUUCGCAUCCGUAUCAGUAGGUACACUCGUUCUAGGCGUGACAACUCUAUUAUUUCUCGGAGAAUUGUAUGUUCUAAAGAGGGCUUUCGUGAGGCUCGUGCUAAUGAAGGUCUUUCUGGUGAGCGAAGACAGCGACAACGAGCAGCCACAAGGGUUGGUUGUAAGGCAAUGAUUAUGGUUAAAAAAAUGGGCCCUGAGAAAUGGAUUGUUACCAAAUUUGAAAAAGAGCAUAAUCAUGGGCCAGUGCCUCCAAGAAAAGUGGAGGUUAGGACAGUGCGCAGGAAUGAUGAUUUUCUAGUACAAUCUUACAUCAGUGAUGGAGGUGCUGUUCAGGAACCGUUUGAGGGGAUGGAGUUUGAGUCUGAAGAAGCUGCAAAGACAUUCUACAUAGCAUAUGCAAGUCACAUGGGUUUUCGUGCACGUAUUAGCAAGUAUUGCCGUUCAAGACGUGAUAAUUCAAUUAUUUCUCGGCAGAUUGUUUGUUCCAAGGAAGGCUUUCGUGAAAUUCGUGUAAAGAAUGAGAUAACAGAUGAAGGAAAAAUCAAGCGCCCUAGAGUGAUAACAAGGAUAGGAUGUAAAGCAAUGAUUAUUGUGAAGAGGGCAAACUCUGGAAAAUGGGUUGUUACAAAGUUUGAGAAGGAGCAUAACCAUGAUCUAAAGGUGCCUCAUCUUGAAUCACAUAGCAAUGCUGGAGAAGUCAUUAAUCUGCAAGGAGCAAUUAUAAAGCCUGAUGAGAUGGUAAUGGAUGAAUCUUCUGCUAGAACACAAGGAACAGGUCAAGAAUCACUAACUGUCCUAUACAACCAGUUAUGUUGUGAAGCCAUCAAGUAUGCACAAGAAGGGGCUGCAACCGAAGACAGUUACAAUGUGGCGAUGUCUGCUCUGAAAGAGGCUGUUGAGAAGGUUGCCGCAGCCAAAAAAGCUGCCGUUAAUAUUGGACAACAAGGGCUACAUAUUGGUGGAGCUAAACAAGCAUUUCUUGUUGUCCAUCCAGCACAGAAAAAAGCUUUGAAAGACUUGCAGUGCUUGAAUGAAGUCAAGCAGGUCCCAUUGAUCUUAAACAUAGCAAACAGUCAGUUAUUGCAUAAUCCAUCAGAUGGUGUGCAUACAGCCAAUGCUACUCAAGUUUUGAACAUCACAAAUGCUGUCAGUGUACUAAAACAAUCAUUACCUUCCACACCACCUACGGAAGGGUUGAUUGGAAAUGGAUUAGAAGGUUCUGAUUUGCCUGCAGAAAAAAAGAUGGCAGUGCACACAGUGGAUAAAGAUGUGGAACUUGAUCCCAUGAUCCAGAAAUCUCAGAACUUGGAUUCUACUGAUGCAGCCAAAGCUGACUCCACUCCAAGAAGUGGCAACAACUUAACUAGUCCAGGUUCCUCUGAGACACAGCUGGUGGCUAUACCUGCAGUGCCAGUGACGCUCUAUGUGCCUGUGAUGGGAAGCUUGCCAAUGUCUUGUUCAGUUGGAACACCAGGAACUCCAGGCGGAUCAUAUGCACUUGUGGCAGCUUCCAUUGAGGCAUUGCCAGUUUCUGCUCGCCCUGCAGGACCGAGCUCUCAAUUGCAGGAUGCAUCCUUUCAGCCAGCAGCAGCAGUUGCAUCUAAGAGUGGUGUACUGGCUCUGGCUCCAUCCACGGGAAAUCUAUCAGAACACUGCAAGCCAUACACAGGCCCAAAUCCUCAGGUGCAUGCAACAGCCAUUGCUUGCGGUGCCCGUGUAGUGCCCCCCAAGGCCGCUGCUUCAGUGAUCAAGGCUAUUGAGGCCAGGAUCAGAUCUGGAGGAGCUUCAGUUGCCAAGUCAGCACUUACAGGUGGCUGCAAAUUACUUGCUGCCCAGAGUCCUUGCCCUUGUACCAUUGAGGAUGGCAAGAGAGAGCAUGCAUCUGCGAAUGUCAUACCUGAAAGCCAGGCAGGAAGUUUGGAGGAGAUGAAAGGGCAAAAAAUUGAGGUUGGCCCAGAGGAGUUGAUGGUUGAUCCUGACCAUUCUGCAGUUGAAAAUGAUGGGCAGGACGGGUCUCUUUUCGAGAGGCAGGUUGAAUUGCUGGGUACAGUUGGGGUUUCUGAUGAUCUAUCAAUGUUUGAGAAGAGAGCUUGGACAGAAAUCAAAUGUGAUUGAAAUGCAGAUUGUCUCCACUAACCUUGCUUUGUAACAUACAACCCCGAUGUACUUAUUGUAUGAAUAAUUUACUGACAUGGAGAUUGCCAGGCCUUUCGCUAUUAUGUUCCGGACCUAAAGCUUCUGCCUACAAAGCCAACUCCUGUUAACUGUUUAUUGACAGGUUAUCAUUGCAUAAAGUUCAUUACAUGCCUAUUGUACAUUGCACUUUAAUCUUUUAAGAGGAGCACAGGAAUCACUGGUGGCUGAUGCAUGUUAACUGUAUUAAUUAUGUGGAACAGUAAUGUAGCCGCAGGUUGAAUGGUAUAUAUAAUGACUAGCAGGUAGGUUGCUUACAGGUUGGAAACAUCAGACUUGGAGAUUGUGUAGAGCCUGCAAUGGAUACAUUAUUUUAGGAUCAACCAUCGCCACCGGUGGGUUCUCACAAGUUGAAGUCACUGCUUCGCAUGCUUUGUGGUCCAUCCCCUCCGAUCAUUCUGCUGGAGAAUGUGGUAUAAUGGCUCAUCACUUGAACAACUAGAAUAUGAGGUAUGUAUCAAGGGACACCACAUAAUAUUUUACAGGUUGCAGCUGAAGUUUAUGCUCUGUUGCCCUCGAGCAUUGGGCACACAUUUUGCUCUGCAUGCAUGGUUCUUCGUAUAAUUGUUAGACUUCAUGUAAUAUAGCAACAGCUUAUCUUUUGUAAAGCCUGGAUUCCAGGGCUAAGGUACAGUUAAUUAAA